rnacentral:rRNA from 1 species
AGGCGAAGCCGCGAGGCGGAGCAAAUCUCAAAAAGACCGUCCCCAGUUCGGAUUGCAGGCUGCAACCCGCCUGCAUGAAGCUGGAAUCGCUAGUAAUCGCGAAUCAGCAUGUCGCGGUGAAUACGUUCCCGGGUCUUGUACACACCGCCCGUCACACCAUGGGAGUUGGUAACGCCCGAAGUCAGUGACCUAACCGCAAGGGAGGAGCUGCCGAAGGUGGGGCCAGUAACUGGGGUGAAGUCGUAACAAGGUAUC